rnacentral:rRNA from 1 species
AUAUUGCGCAAUGGGGGGAACCCUGACGCAGCGACGCCGCGUGAGCGAAGAAGGCCGUCGGGCCGUAAAGCGCUGUCUUUGGGGAAGAAGAAAGUGACGGUACUCAAGGAGGAAGCCCCGGCUAACUACGUGCCAGCAGCCGCGGUAACACGUAGGGGGCGAGCGGUGUCCGGAAUUACUGGGCGUAAAGGGUGGGUAGGCGGCCUGAUAAGUCAAGUGUGAAAUACCCGGGCUCCACCUGGGUGGUGCACGUGAAACUGUCGGGCUUGAGUGCAGGAGAGGGAAGUGGAAUUCCUAGUGUAGCGGUGAAAUGCGUAGAUAUUAGGAGGAACACCAGUGGCGAAGGCGGCUUCCUGGACUGUAACUGACGCUGAGGCACGAAAGCGUGGGGAGCAAAC